rnacentral:rRNA from 1 species
AGCGAACGCUGGCGGCAGGCCUAACACAUGCAAGUCGAACGAAGUCUUCGGACUUAGUGGCGGACGGGUGAGUAACACGUGGGAACGUGCCUUUAUGUUCGGAAUAACUCAGGGAAACUUGUGCUAAUACCGAAUGUGCCCUUCGGGGGAAAGAUUUAUCGCCUUUAGAGCGGCCCGCGUCUGAUUAGCUAGUUGGUGAGGUAAAGGCUCACCAAGGCGACGAUCAGUAGCUGGUCUGAGAGGAUGAUCAGCCACAUUGGGACUGAGACGCGGCCCAAACUCCUACGGGAGGCAGCAGUGGGGAAUCUUGCGCAAUGGGCGAAAGCUUGACGCAGCCAUGCCGCGUGAAUGAUGAAGGUCUUAGGAUUGUAAAAUUCUUUCACCGGGGACGAUAAUGACGGUACCCGGAGAAGAAGCCCCGGCUAACUUCGUGCCAGCCGCCGCCGUAAGAC